AGUGAACGCUGGCGGUAGGCCUAACACAUGCAAGUCGAACGGCAGCACAGUAAGAGCUUGCUCUGACGGGUGGCGAGUGGCGGACGGGUGAGGAAUACAUCGUAAUCUACUUUUUCGUGGGGGAUAACGUAGGGAAACUUACGCUAAUACCGCAUACGACCUACGGGUGAAAGCAGGGGAUCUUCGGACCUUGCGCGAUUGAAUGAGCCGAUGUCGGAUUAGCUAGUUGGCGGGGUAAAGGCCCACCAAGGCGACGAUCCGUAGCUGGUCUGAGAGGAUGAUCAGCCACAUUGGAACUGAGACACGGCCCAGACUCCUACGGGAGGCAGCAGUGGGGAAUAUUGGACAAUGGGGGCAAGCCUGAUCCAGCCAUACCGCGUGGGUGAAGAAGGCCUUCGGGUUGUAAAGCCCUUUUGUUGGGAAAGAAAAGCAGCAGGUUAAUACCCCGCUGUUCUGACGGUACCCAAAGAAUAAGCACCGGCUAACUUCGUG
rnacentral:rRNA from 1 species